rnacentral:snoRNA from 1 species
CUACUUUCAUCAUGUAUUAGAUAGUCAGGACCUGAAAAAGUUGAGAGUCUGCCCUUUUCCAUGAUGUUGGACAGGACACCUGCAUAUUCUGACAGCUUCUCAGAGUCCUGUGGGCAAGGACUGAGAAGACAAUGGAUGCAGGAAACCAUC